GAGGGUGUCGGGCCAUGGGUGCUUCUGGGUGUAGGGGGCUCAGAUGAAGAGCCGGUGCUCCUGAGCUUCCUGGGGCUUGGACCUCUGCUUCGUGACCAGCUGGGCAGGCCUGCGGCUGGCUCCAAGGAAGCUGCUGAGACAGGGA